rnacentral:rRNA from 1 species
AUUGAACGCUGGCGGCAGGCCUAACACAUGCAAGUCGAGCGGAGCGGCGGUCGGGUGCGUAUUGCCUAGGUAUCUGCCUGUUAGUGGGGGAUAACGUCCGGUACCGGGCGCUAUUACCGCUUACUCUCUCCUGCGCCUAGGUCGGUUUAGCUGGGUGGUGGGGUAAAGGCCUACAAAGGCGACGAUCCGUAACUGGUCUGAGAGGAUGAUCAGUCACACUGGAACUGAGACACGGUCCAGACUCCUACGGGAGGCAGCAGUGGGGAAUAUUGGACAAUGGGCGAAAGCCUGAUCCAGCCAUGCCGCGUGUGUGAAGAAGGUCUUCGGAUUGUAAAGCACUUUAAGUUGGGAGGCGUUACCAACAGAAGAAGCACCGGCUAACUUCGUGCCAGCAGCCGCGGUAAUAC